rnacentral:tRNA from 1 species
GCCUUUGUAGCUCAGCGGAAUAGAGCAUUGCACUUCUAAUGCAUUGGUCGCUGGUUCGAAUCCAGCCAAAGGCG